ACCAUUUUGGCAGACUUUAUUAAUGCAAAAGACUUAGAAUCUUAAUAACUCUUU
rnacentral:tRNA from 1 species